rnacentral:rRNA from 1 species
UACGUAGGGGGCUAGCGUUGUCCGGAAUUAUUGGGCGUAAAGCGCGCGUGGGCGGCCAGAUAAGUUCGGUGUGAAAGUCACAGGCUCAACCUGUGAAUGCCGCUGGAAACUGUCUGGCUAGAGUCCGGAAGGGGCGAGUGGAAUUCCUGGUGUAGCGGUGAAAUGCGCAGAUAUCAGGAGGAACACCAAUGGCGAAGGCAGCUCGCUGGAACGGUACUGACGCUGAGGCGCGAAAGCGUGGGGAGCGAACAGG